rnacentral:rRNA from 1 species
AGAAGAAGGAUGAACGGCGGCGGCGUGCCUAAUACAUGCAAGUCGAACGCACAGCGAAAGGUGCUUGCACCUUUCAAGUGAGUGGCGAACGGGUGAGUAACACGUGGACAACCUGCCUCAAGGCUGGGGAUAACAUUUGGAAACAGAUGCUAAUACCGAAUAAAACUUAGUGUCGCAUGACACAAAGUUAAAAGGCGCUUCGGCGUCACCUAGAGAUGGAUCCGCGGUGCAUUAGUUAGUUGGUGGGGUAAAGGCCUACCAAGACAAUGAUGCAUAGCCGAGUUGAGAGACUGAUCGGCCACAUUGGGACUGAGACACGGCCCAAACUCCUACGGGAGGCUGCAGUAGGGAAUCUUCCACAAUGGGCGAAAGCCUGAUGGAGCAACGCCGCGUGUGUGAUGAAGGCUUUCGGGUCGUAAAGCACUGUUGUAUGGGAAGAACAGCUAGAAUAGGAAAUGAUUUUAGUUUGACGGUACCAUACCAGAAAGGGACGGCUAAAUACGUGCCAGCAGCCGCGGUAAUACGUAUGUCCCGAGCGUUAUCCGGAUUUAUUGGGCGUAAAGCGAGCGCAGACGGUUUAUUAAGUCUGAUGUGAAAGCCCGGAGCUCAACUCCGGAAUGGCAUUGGAAACUGGUUAACUUGAGUGCAGUAGAGGUAAGUGGAACUCCAUGUGUAGCGGUGGAAUGCGUAGAUAUAUGGAAGAACACCAGUGGCGAAGGCGGCUUACUGGACUGCAACUGACGUUGAGGCUCGAAAGUGUGGGUAGCAAACAGGAUUAGAUACCCUGGUAGUCCACACCGUAAACGAUGAACACUAGGUGUUAGGAGGUUUCCGCCUCUUAGUGCCGAAGCUAACGCAUUAAGUGUUCCGCCUGGGGAGUACGACCGCAAGGUUGAAACUCAAAGGAAUUGACGGGGACCCGCACAAGCGGUGGAGCAUGUGGUUUAAUUCGAAGCAACGCGAAGAACCUUACCAGGUCUUGACAUCCUUUGAAGCUUUUAGAGAUAGAAGUGUUCUCUUCGGAGACAAAGUGACAGGUGGUGCAUGGUCGUCGUCAGCUCGUGUCGUGAGAUGUUGGGUUAAGUCCCGCAACGAGCGCAACCCUUAUUGUUAGUUGCCAGCAUUCAGAUGGGCACUCUAGCGAGACUGCCGGUGACAAACCGGAGGAAGGCGGGGACGACGUCAGAUCAUCAUGCCCCUUAUGACCUGGGCUACACACGUGCUACAAUGGCGUAUACAACGAGUUGCCAACCCGCGAGGGUGAGCUAAUCUCUUAAAGUACGUCUCACAACGGAUUGUAGUCUGCAACUCGACUACAUGAAGUCGGAAUCGCUAGUAAUCGCGGAUCAGCACGCCGCGGUGAAUACGUUCCCGGGUCUUGUACACACCGCCCGUCACACCAUGGGAGUUUGUAAUGCCCAAAGCCGGUGGCCUAACCUUUUAGGAAGGAGCCGUCUAAGGCAGGACAGAUGACUGGGGUCUUA